rnacentral:rRNA from 1 species
UGAGGAAUAUUGGUCAAUGGGCGGAAGCCUGAACCAGCCAAGUAGCGUGCAGGAUGACGGCCCUAUGGGUUGUAAACUGCUUUUGAAGGGGAGUAAAGUGAGUGACUUGUCAUUCAUUGCAAGUACCCUUGGAAUAAGGACCGGCUAAUUCCGUGCCAGCAGCCGCGGUAAUACGUAGGGGGCAAGCGUUAUCCGGAUUCAUUGGGCGUAAAGAGCUCGUAGGCGGCCCGUUAGGUCAGGAGUCAAAUUCGGGGGCUCAACCCCCGCGCGCUCCUGAUACCGGCGGGCUUGAGUUUGGUAGGGGAAGGUGGAAUUCCCAGUGUAGCGGUGGAAUGCGCAGAUAUUGGGAAGAACACCGGUGGCGAAGGCGGCCUUCUGGGCCAUAACUGACGCUGAGGAGCGAAAGCUAGGGGAGCGAACAGGAUUAGAUACCCUGGUAGUCCUAGCCGUAAACGAUGGACACUAGGUGUGGGCGAAUGUUUCGUCCGCGCCGCAGCCAACGCAUUAAGUGUCCCGCCUGGGGAGUACGGCCGCAAGGCUA